rnacentral:lncRNA from 1 species
CCCCGACUUCCGAGUUCCAGUUGGCUUCCAGCUGGAGCGCGGGAAGUAGUUUUAGUUGGGGUAUUACGGAUUCCGAAAAUUUUAAUUCGUUGCGCGUUUUGAGUUAUCGAACGCUUCGAGGUGCCUUUAAUAGGCGGCGUCUCUUCUUUUCCGAAAAGCCUCAUUAUUGGGACACCUUUUGUGAAGCGUCCUCGCGUCGUGGGCUCAUGAUGGGGCCGCACGAUCUUCGAUUGCGGACGCCUUUCCGCACGAUCCGAUGGGGCGCUUCGACGUUCGAACCGCUAGCCUUAAUUAAAUGCGUCGUUCUGUCUUUUAGACCGACACGUGUUAUCAUCUAACCAGGACGCAGCGCUUUCUUCGCUGAUCCGGGCCGUUGGGGAGGUCUAUAUAAACUCUCCCCCGGCCCCCUGUUCUCUCUCUAUUGCUUUCUGCUUCCAGCUUCCUAUUCUCCCAGUCUUCCUCAGACCGAAGUCCCUUCUCUCCGGCAUCUUUCCCAGGUCCUCCUUCUUUUUGAUUUCCCUN